AACGAACGCUGGCGGCAUGCCUAACACAUGCAAGUCGAACGAGACCUUCGGGUCUAGUGGCGCACGGGUGCGUAACGCGUGGGAACCUGCCCUUAGGUUCGGAAUAACUCCUCGAAAGGGGUGCUAAUACCGGAUGAUGUCGAAAGACCAAAGAUUUAUCGCCUUUGGAUGGGCCCGCGUAGGGUUAGGUAGUUGGUGGGGUAAAGGCCUACCAAGCCGACGAUCCUUAGCUGGUCUGAGAGGAUGAUCAGCCACACUGGGACUGAGACACGGCCCAGACUCCUACGGGAGGCAGCAGUGGGGAAUAUUGGACAAUGGGCGAAAGCCUGAUCCAGCAAUGCCGCGUGAGUGAUGAAGGCCUUAGGGUUGUAAAGCUCUUUUACCAGGGAUGAUAAUGACAGUACCUGGAGAAUAAGCUCCGGCUAACUCCGUGCCAGCAGCCGCGGUAAAGUAGU
rnacentral:rRNA from 1 species